CCCUCCCCCAGCCCCCGCCGGGCAGCAUGCCCAGGCAGGCUGGCAGCUGUGGCACACAGGGCCUCUGGCAGGAUUGCUGUGGCUCUCGCUGUGUGGCCUGCACUGCGCCUGGGGGGUGGCGGGCUGACGCUGGGAGGGCCUGCGCGGGCGGGCGGGCUGCCAGGCGCCCUGGUGCGGUGGCAUCCACGGCCUGAUGCAGGAGAGGCCACUGCGGUCCCAGAAAUCAGCCUGUCCCAAACCAGGAGGUGGCGGACAACCACCCCCGGCCUCGUGUGGUCUCCCAGGAGCCCAGGUCGGGAGAAUUCCACAGCUGCUGGCUGGUCAAGCCACCUACCAGCCUGAUUGAGGUGACCUGGAGCCCUGGGGUGGGAACAGGCUGAAAGGGGCAGGCGCUGCUACUGGUGGGGACCAGCCAGCUGAUGAGAGCAGCCGGGGCCAAAUGGGGCAGAACGAGAGGCAGGACCCCUAAGGACCCAGAGUGGCAGGUGGCCCGGGCGGACCCUGGGGCAGACCCUGAGCCCAGGCAGGAGGAUGCCGGCUCUGUCCGCCACGAGGACCCCGUAGGCAUGUGUGACGGAGAUGUGGGACCGUCCUCGGGUCCCCAGCCCAGGGAGGGCCACCGGGGGCGGGGGGGGGGGGGCGAGCAUCGGGGAGGCACAGCCUGGAGGCGGGGCCUGGGCAGCCACCCCAGAUCACCCCUCUGGGCCCAGCAGUCCUGUGGGCCCUGCAGUCCUGUGCCACCUGCUGUGGUCGGUGGCUCCGUCAGCGAACGUCUCCGGACAAAGCCCCAGAGACCGAUGCGAGUGUCUGAAGAGUCCAGGCCAUGUUCCCAUCAGCCGCAUGGGACCCUUGCUCCCUGCGGGACGAGGCCGGCCCUCCUCCUGCCUCCUUAGACCCUUAAUGACCAGUCCUGGCUGAAAAGCCGCGUGACCGGUGCCGCAGAAUCCAUCAGUCCAGGCUCGUCCCUGGGAGGAGUCGUGACCCUGUUUUUGGGCUCCCUCCGUGCAUAAAAGCACCGCGGCAAACACGCUUAUCUGCACCCGGGGGCCGAGUCAGCCUGUCCCGAGCAGACAGGUCCCUGAGUCGUGGAGGCUGCAGGUCCAAGGUCCUGGGGCCGCAGAUGAGGUGUCGGGGCGACGGUGGGGUGCAGCUUCUGUGAGCUCACGGCGGAAGGGCAAGGCACCCUCUGCGGCCUCCUUCAUAAGGACACGAGAUGACCUCCCGCUACCUUCCCGGAGGUUAGGGUUCAACAGAUGAACCUGGGAGCCACACCCACAUUCAGAUGGCAGCGUGUCCUUUGUGUGGACGCCCUCCAGUUUCCGAACAUGGUGUCCAGGGUCACUCAAGGCCAUCGUGAGCUGGGUCUCCCUCCACAAGUGGCCACGGGCGUCCUGAGUGCUGAGUUCUUCCUGGAAAGGCUGAGCCGCUGUUUAGGACUGGGCCCCGUAAGUCCUUCUACUCGUCUCACCUGGGUGUCUCUAGCUGCUGCUGCUGCGGAAGACUUUCCCCGUCCUGUGUGCAUCCUGUCCGCUGCCUCCUUCCUCCUGGCAGCAUGUGCCCAGCUCUCACCCGCACCCCACAAAGGCACUCACUGUCCCCCACACUGCGGCGGCCGCCCUGCGUGAGUCGGCCAGGCCCUGCUGCCCCUCCUGCAAGGAGGGUCAGCACCACAGCCGCCCGGCCCUCAGCCUUCUUGGGAGCAGGCGGCAGCAGCUGCCUAACAGCUGCACUAAAUGUUAGAGGGAAAUUUAGGACAAACGAGGAAGAAGAUUGGAGCAUCCGAUUUAAACUGAGGGGAGGCAUCCAGAAGCCAAAACGGUGCUGCCCUAAUUCACGCGCAGAGCGAGCCACGGGUUUGCAGCCUCUGACAGGAAACCAAAAUACUCACCCAGUUUCCUACUGUGCGAGGGAUCCAGACUCACCUGACAAGGAGCCUGCAGACGUCCCCUAACCUCUGCGGGGCGGCCUCAGCCAGCCCAGGACACACCGCAGACGCCCUCGGGCCGCAGGGUCGGAGGCUCACGUGUGCUGGACUGGCCGGAGCGUCUGCCCUGCAGGCCGGGUUGAGGCCGGGAGGGCGUGUGGGAGGAGCCAGAAGCACCUGGGCAGACAGGUGCCCUGCCUGCAGCUCCAGCUCCAGCCCCAGCCCAAAGCCCAGCGUUCCUGGGCCCUCGCACCCCAGUCAUGGGUGGGCUCUCGGCCCAGGCCCCCAGCUGGAGAAGAUGGUCCCGUGGGAGCAGAGCCUGUCCCCAGGGAAGGGCUUUGGGGGAGGGGUCUGGGGGAGGACCUGAGGUGAGCAGGCCUUAUCUCAGAGCUGCCUUCAGCCACCUAAAGCCCCUAGAUGAGGACCCCACCCUCGGUGGGACCGCCAGGCCCAGCUGGCUGGCGGGGGCUGAUCUGCAGAAAGUGAGUGGCGGUGGCGGUGGCGGUGGCGUUGGCCGGGGCGGGGGGGGCUCUGGCUCCCCCUCCCCACCAUGGACCGGGCUCUGAGCGGCCACUCCCGCUGGCCUCGUCUCGGCCUCCAAUGCUGACACAGGGUCGGUGCUGGGCGGAGUGUGGGAACCUCCGGUUUCCGGAGCCCCUCGGAGCCUCAACCACAGACCCGCAGGAAGACCCCGAGAGGGAUGUGCAUUCAGCCCCGUCCAUGAGGCAAGGGGACAGGAGGAAACAACUCCCUCUGCCCGGGGUCGGGGCGAAGUGGAUUAUGUGAAAAGGGCUUCUAAACCCAGCUCCGGUUCACCCUUCCACUACGAGCGUGUAAAAUGCCGGCGGCGGGGAAGGAGCUCCUGCUGCGGCACAGCGCUCACAAACCCGACCAGACUCCAUGAGGACACAGGUUCGAUCUCUGGCUUCACGCUAUGGGUUAAGGA